GGACCCGCACAAGCAGCGGAGCAUGUGGUUUAAUUCGAAGCAACGCGAAGAACCUUACCAGGGCUUGACAUCCUACUGACCGGCGUGUAACGGCGCCUUUCCUUCGGGACAGUAGUGACAGGUGGUGCAUGGUUGUCGUCAGCUCGUGUCGUGAGAUGUUGGGUUAAGUCCCGCAACGAGCGCAACCCUUGUCAUUAGUUGCCAUCAGGUUAAGCUGGGCACUCUAAUGAGACUGCCGCGGAUAACGCGGAGGAAGGUGGGGAUGACGUCAAAUCAUCAUGCCCCUUAUGUUCUGGGCUACACACGUGCUACAAUGGCUGGUACAAUGGGAAGCAAUACUGCGAAGUGGAGCAAAUCACCAAAACCAGUCUCAGUUCGGAUUGCAGGCUGAAACUCUCCUGCAUGAAGUCGGAGUUGCUAGUAAUCGUGAAUCAGAAUGUCA
rnacentral:rRNA from 1 species